rnacentral:rRNA from 1 species
UUAAAUUGAAGAGUUUGAUCAUGGCUCAGAUUGAACGCUGGCGGCAGGCCUAACACAUGCAAGUCGAACGGUAACAGGAAUCAGCUUGCUGAUUCGCUGACGAGUGGCGGACGGGUGAGUAAUGUCUGGGAAACUGCCUG